AACGAACGCUGGCGGCAGGCCUAACACAUGCAAGUCGAACGCCGUAGCAAUACGGAGUGGCAGACGGGUGAGUAACGCGUGGGAACAUACCCCUCGGCUCGGAAUAACUCAGGGAAACUUGAGCUAAUACCGGAUACGUCCGAGGUUUUAAUCGGCCUUGGAGAAAGAUUUAUCGCCGGAGGAUUGGCCCGCGUCUGAUUAGCUUGUUGGUGAGGUAAUGGCUCACCAAGGCGACGAUCAGUAGCUGGUCUGAGAGGAUGAUCAGCCACAUUGGGACUGAGACACGGCCCAAACUCCUACGGGAGGCAGCAGUGGGGAAUAUUGGACAAUGGGCGAAAGCCUGAUCCAGCCAUGCCGCGUGAGUGAUGAAGGCCUUAGGGUUGUAAAGCUC
rnacentral:rRNA from 1 species